rnacentral:sRNA from 1 species
UACUGACGAUGUGUCACAGGUAUAAGGA